UAGGGAAUCUUCCACAAUGGACGCAAGUCUGAUGGAGCAACGCCGCGUGAGUGAAGAAGGUUUUCGGACCGUAAAGCUCUGUUGUUGGUGAAGAAGGAUAGAGGUAGUAACUGGCCUUUAUUUGACGGUAAUCAACCAGAAAGUCACGGCUAACUACGUGCCAGCAGCCGCGGUAAUACGUAGGUGGCAAGCGUUGUCCGGAUUUAUUGGGCGUAAAGCGAGCGCAGGCGGAAGAAUAAGUCUGAUGUGAAAGCCCUCGGCUUAACCGAGGAAUUGCAUCGGAAACUGUUUUCUUGAGUGCAGAAGAGGAGAGUAGAACUCCAUGUGUAGCGGUGGAAUGCGUAGAUAUAUGGAAGAAUACCAGUGGCGAAGGCGGCUCUCUGGUCUGCAACUGACGCUGAGGCUCGAAAGCAUGGGUAGCGAACAGGAUUAGGGGGAUACCCUGGUAGUCCAUGCCGUAAACGAUGAGUGCUAAGUGUUGGGAGGCUUCCGCCUCUCAGUGCUGCAGCUAACGCAUUAAGCACUCCGCCUGGGGGAGUACGACCGCAAGGUUGAA
rnacentral:rRNA from 1 species